rnacentral:rRNA from 1 species
GUGGGGAAUAUUGCGCAAUGGAGGCAACUCUGACGCAGCCAUGCCGCGUGCAGGAAGAAGGCGCUACGCGUUGUAAACUGCUUUUAACCGGGAAGAAACCCCAGGACGUGUCCUGGGUUGACGGUACCGGAGGAAUAAGCACCGGCUAACUUCGUGCCAGCAGCCGCGGUAAUACGAAGGGUGCAAGCGUUAUCCGGAUUCAUUGGGUUUAAAGGGUGCGUAGGCGGAGCGUUAAGUCAGUGGUGAAAUCCUGCAGCUUAACUGUAGACUUGCCAUUGAUACUGGCGCUCUUGAGUGCGCUUGAAGUGGGCGGAAUGUGCCGUGUAGCGGUGAAAUGCUUAGAUAUGGCACAGAACACCAAUUGCGAAGGCAGCUCACUAAGGCGAUACUGACGCUGAGGCACGAAAGCGUGGGGAUCGAACAGGAUUAGAUACCCCGGUAGUCC